GUCUUUUUGUUAAUUAUUUAAGGUUUGGCCUGCUCCAUGAUUAAAUUAAAUAGCCGCAGUAUUUUGACUGUGCAAAGGUAGCAUAAUCAUUAGUUUUUUAAUUGAAAGCUGGAAUGAAUGGUCGGAUGAGAAAGAAGCUGUCUCAUUAUAAUUUGGGUUGAAUUUUAUUUUUAAGUUAAAAAGCUUAAAUGUUAUAGAAAGACGAGAAGACCCUAUAGAGUUUAAUAAGUUAGUGGGUUAAUUAUUUUAGGGUUUUAAUAUAGUUAGUUUAUUACUUGUUUGGUUGGGGUGACAUGAGAAUUUAAUUAACUUCUUAUAAUUUUAACAUUAAUUAAUGAAUGGAUGAUCCUGAUAUUUGGAUUUUAAGAGAAAAUUACCUUAGGGAUAACAGCGUAAUCUUUUUGGAGAGUUCUUAUCGAUAAAAGGGAUUGCGACCUCGAUGUUGGAUUAAAGUUAAGUUUUGGUGUAGAAGCUAAAAUUUUAAGUCUGUUCGACUUUUAAAACUUUACAUGAUCUGAGUUUAAACCGGCGUGAGCCAGGUUGGUUUCUAUCUUUUAUAGGUAAAAUAUUUUAGUACGAAAGGACCAGAUAUUUAAAUAAUAUUUUUGAUUUGAAUAAAAUUGUUAUUUUGGCAGAUUAGUGCAAUAGAUUUAGAAUCUUUAUAUGUAAUUGUAUUACAAAUAACAAUUUAUUUUGUUGAUUUAAUUUUAUUGUUUAUUUCAGUGUUAAUUUUAAUUGUGUGUGUUUUGGUGGGGGUGGCAUUUUUAACUCUUUUGGAGCGUAAGGUUUU
rnacentral:rRNA from 1 species